rnacentral:tRNA from 1 species
AACAAGCCGGGAUAGCUCAGUUGGUAGAGCAGAGGACUGAAAAUCCUCGUGUCACCAGUCAAA